GACGAACGCUGGCGGCGUGCUUAACACAUGCAAGUCGAACGGAAAGGCCCUGCUUUUGUGGGGUGCUCGAUUGGCUAACGGUUGAGUAACACGUGAUUAACCUUCCCUUGACUUUGGGAUAACUUCAGGAAACUGGGGCUAAUACCGGAUAGUAGCUCCUGCUGCUUGGUGGGGGUUGGAAAGUUUCGGCGGUUGGGGAUGGACUCGCGGCUUAUCAGCUUGUUGGUGUGGUAGUGGCUUACCAAGGCUUUGACGGGUAGCCGGACUGAGAGGGUGACCGGCCACAUUGGGACUGAGAUACGGCCAAGACUCCUACGGGAGGAAGCAGUGGAGAAUAUUGCAAAAUGGGCGGAAGCAUGAUGCAGCAACGCCGCGUGCGGGAUGACGGCCGUAGGGUUGUAAACCGCUUGCGCCUGUGAAGAAGAGUGAGUGACGGUAAUGGGUAAAGAAGCAACGGCUAACUACGUG
rnacentral:rRNA from 1 species